AUGGAAAAACCACAGAAGAAGAAACAGCAAGAGCUAUACUAGCACCGGCAAUGUCUGAUAAUGGGGUGGCUUAAAUCCAUCAUCUCUCCUUUCAAGAGAUUCUGGCGCAGACUCCAUUCAUCUCGCCCAAGACGUACGCAGAGGAAUCCACAUGCUGUACGAAGAUGUAAUGUCGUGCUCUUGUGAAGAUGUGCAUGCAUUGUGGUCUAUGCUCGUGGAUUCUGCAAAUGCCAACAUAUAAAAAAAAAAUAUCACUAUAUUAUGCCUCUUUCUAUUUCUUAUUUUUGUGUGUUUCGGGUCAUGUAUAGUAUCUUAUUUUGAUUUAUAAGAAAACUGCAUAUGAAUGUGGACUCUGGGUGAAACUCGUAUAGUAACUUAAAUCAUGUUUAAGGUUUACUAUACGAAAUAUUUAUGUUUUGCAAAGCUCUAAACAUGUGUGAGUAUUUCAGAUAUUUUAAGCACCGAAAGGGCUAGUGGAGUAGGUGUAAUAACUUUCAAAAGGUCAUCACGGGAUUUUAAGACCUGUGAGCUAUUAUAUAAGAGUCAGGUUUAUACGGUGUACUCCCUCAAUAUUCAAUAGUAGUGAUGAUUUUCCUCAUCACUAACAAAAAUGUUGAAUAAAUCACCUUAUUGCUCA